CAAUAGCGUAUAUUAAAGUUGUUGCGGUAAAAAAGCUCGUAGUUGGAUUUCUACCGAAGAUAGCCGGUCGGGUCUUCGACCUUGUAUCUGGUUUUGUCUUUGGUAUCCUCAUAGGGAACGUUUCUGCGCUUUAUUGCGUGGUGCGGUAUCCAUGACUUUUACUUUGAGGAAAUUAGAGUGUUCACGGCAGGCAAACGCCUUGAAUAUAUUAGCAUGGAAUAAUAACAUAGGAUCUUCGUCCUAUUUUGUUGGUUUCUAGGGCUAAGAUAAUGAUUAAUAGGGAUAAUUGGGGGCAUCUGUAUCAACGCGCCAGAGGUGGAAUUCUUGGAUUGCGUUGCGACAAACUACUGCGAAAGCAUUUGCCAAGGAUGUUUUCAUUGA
rnacentral:rRNA from 1 species